GGCGGCGUGCCUAAUACAUGCAAGUCGAGCGAACAGAUGAGAAGCUUGCUUCUCUGAUGUUAGCGGCGGACGGGUGAGUAACACGUGGGUAACCUACCUAUAAGACUGGGAUAACUCCGGGAAACCGGGGCUAAUACCGGAUAAUAUUUUGAACCGCAUGGUUCAAUAGUGAAAGACGGUUUCGGCUGUCACUUAUAGAUGGACCCGCGCCGUAUUAGCUAGUUGGUAAGGUAACGGCUUACCAAGGCGACGAUACGUAGCCGACCUGAGAGGGUGAUCGGCCACACUGGAACUGAGACACGGUCCAGACUCCUACGGGAGGCAGCAGUAGGGAAUCUUCCGCAAUGGGCGAAAGCCUGACGGAGCAACGCCGCGUGAGUGAUGAAGGUCUUCGGAUCGUAAAACUCUGUUGUUAGGGAAGAACAAAUUUGUUAGUAACUGAACAAGUCUUGACGGUACCUAACCAGAAAGCCACGGCUAACUACGUGCCAGCAGCCGCGGUAAUACGUAGGUGGCAAGCGUUAUCCGGAAUUAUUGGGCGUAAAGCGCGCGUAGGCGGUUUCUUAAGUCUGAUGUGAAAGCCCACGGCUCAACCGUGGAGGGUCAUUGGAAACUGGGAAACUUGAGUGCAGAAGAGGAGAGUGGAAUUCCAUGUGUAGCGGUGAAAUGCGCAGAGAUAUGGAGGAACACCAGUGGCGAAGGCGGCUCUCUGGUCUGUAACUGACGCUGAUGUGCGAAAGCGUGGGGAUCAAACAGGAUUAGAUACCCUGGGUAGUCCACGCCGUAAACGAUGAGUGCUAAGUGUUAGGGGGGUUUCCGCCCCUUAGUGCUGCAGCUAACGCAUUAAGCACUCCGCCUGGGGAGUACGACCGCAAGGUUGAAACUCAAAGGAAUUGACGGGGACCCGCACAAGCGGUGGAGCAUGUGGUUUAAUUCGAAGCAACGCGAAGAACCUUACCAAAUCUUGACAUCCUUUGACCGCUCUAGAGAUAGAGUCUUCCCCUUCGGGGGACAAAGUGACAGGUGGUGCAUGGUUGUCGUCAGCUCGUGUCGUGAGAUGUUGGGUUAAGUCCCGCAACGAGCGCAACCCUUAAGCUUAGUUGCCAUCAUUAAGUUGGGCACUCUAGGUUGACUGCCGGUGACAAACCGGAGGAAGGUGGGGAUGACGUCAAAUCAUCAUGCCCCUUAUGAUUUGGGCUACACACGUGCUACAAUGGAUAAUACAAAGGGCAGCGAAUCCGCGAGGCCAAGCAAAUCCCAUAAAAUUAUUCUCAGUUCGGAUUGUAGUCUGCAACUCGACUACAUGAAGCUGGAAUCGCUAGUAAUCGUAGAUCAGCAUGCUACGGUGAAUACGUUCCCGGGUCUUGUACACACCGCCCGUCACACCACGAGAGUUUGUAACACCCGAAGCCGGUGGAGUAACCUUUUAGGAGCUAGCCGUCGAAGGUGGGAC
rnacentral:rRNA from 3 species